UACGUAGGGUGCAAGCGUUGUCCGGAAUUAUUGGGCGUAAAGAGCUUGUAGGCGGUUUGUCGCGUCUGCUGUGAAAAUCCGAGGCUCAACCUCGGACUUGCAGUGGGUACGGGCAGACUAGAGUGUGGUAGGGGGAGACUGGAAUUCCUGGUGUAGCGGUGGAAUGCGCAGAUAUCAGGAGGAACACCGAUGGCGAAGGCAGGUCUCUGGGCCAACUACUGACG
rnacentral:rRNA from 1 species